GACGAACCACACAAACGUUAUUCGGAAUUACUGGGCUUAAAGGGUGCGUAGGCGGCGCGGAAAGUAGGGUGUGAAAUCCCUCGGCUCAACCGAGGAAUUGCGCCCUAAACUACCGUGCUCGAGGGAGAUAGAGGUGAGCGGAACUUAGGGUGGAGCGGUGAAAUGCGUUGAUAUCCUAAGGAACACCGGUGGCGAAAGCGGCUCACUGGAUCUCUUCUGACGCUGAGGCGCGAAAGCCAGGGGAGCAAACGGG
rnacentral:rRNA from 1 species